rnacentral:misc_RNA from 1 species
GUUAAAUGCAUAGGUCAUAAUCUAAAUGUACCUUAUUUGUAGUGAAUUUCCACAUAAAAUAGUAGACAAAGAAAGAGUACUUAACUAAUAAGAUUUGUACAGGCAUGAUAUGGGCCUUGCACAUGUGAUGGGUCAAGCCCAUCAUUGUGCUUUGGCCAAUACUAUGAUAUGAAAUUCUGAGAAAUCCUGCAUGGCUUGUCUUGCAUAUGCAUCAUCUCCUUCAUCUUACCAUGAUACUUUCCCUAUCUAUUUCAUCUGGUUUAGUGUCAACGAUUAUUUUCACCACUAAAUUUGUAUGUUACCCAGCACUAUACACAGGCCCACUUGACGUAAAAGAGUAGUUUUUUUCUUACGAGUAGAGCUCCAUUUACUGUUCCUUU